AAUAGGAUAGUCUUCGUAUAAUUUUGGAAAUAUGGUCCAUUCGUUUCUACCAAACUACCGUAAAUAGUUUGACUACGAGGAAGAGA
rnacentral:ncRNA from 1 species